rnacentral:lncRNA from 1 species
AUGUGCUCUUUACAAUGCCAUCUGCUGGGAGGGGUCCAGGGAGCCAGGAGCUCUACCUUAGCCGACCUGUGGGUUGGGCAGCGUUCCCUGAGCUCUUUGUGGCUGAAGCAGAUAACAUCUUCCAUCGGCUCUCAUCCUGACAGGAAGCGCUUAAAAUCUGAGUCUGGAAAGGCUGCCAGGAAGCAGGUCCUAACUGAAAAGAACAGAUUUAUCUGCAUGAGGAUGUCAUGGCCUUGCUCAUCUGAAUCAGAUAGCCCAGUGGAACACUUUCUGGUGAGGUGCUGGUUCCUUGCUAAUGCUGUCCUGGUGCAUGGGGCUGCUCAAGGUGUAUGUGCUGGUGUUGAGCAAGGGACAGAAAUGAAGAGUGCAGUGCAUGCAGCAUGUGAAGCCUUUUUGGAAGGACAUGGUCACUGUCAGCAGCACAGGGGAGAGCCAAAGCUCUGGGGAGCCAGGAUUUGGGUGACUGCAGAGAAUUAAAGGGCUGUGGGAGUACGUUGGGAUGUGGCUUAAACAAUAGAAAAACAGACAGCCAAAGACUCAGCUCAUGCAAAUGGAGAUGGCUCUGUGGAUCAGUGAAGUCCUAAUAAUUUUCAGUAAAUGAGAUAUAAUGGGCUGCAGUGUGUGUGUAGCCAGAAUGCUACCCAGUGCUCCUCUUGAGAGCCUCAGGAGGCAUCAUGUCUCAGUAAAAUAGUUGCUGGUGGAAGAGCCAGCCUCUUGUGCAAAGCAACUUGUGUGUGUGCUUCAUUCAGCUGAAAUUGGUCUCCUAUUUUUCAUUUUAUAUGCUUUGCAGCCAUAUGUUUUGGUUAAAAACUGCACUGGAAUGGUGCAUUGUAAAUUAUGGGAAGUGCACAAACUAGUUUAUCUCCUCUCCUUCUCCAGCUGUGAAAGAAUCAACGAGAGAUGUGUCACAUAUGCAGAACCUCUGGGGACAGCAGCAUUCUCAUACAGGACAGGGACUGAAGGCCGUGGCAGCAUUGCUGUAGACUUUACACAACACAUGGG